AGUGAACGCUGGCGGUAGGCCUAACACAUGCAAGUCGAACGGCAGCACAGUAAGAGCUUGCUCUUACGGGUGGCGAGUGGCGGACGGGUGAGGAAUACAUCGGAAUCUACUUUUUCGUGGGGGAUAACGUAGGGAAACUUACGCUAAUACCGCAUACGACCUACGGGUGAAAGCAGGGGAUCUUCGGACCUUGCGCGAUUGCAUGAGCCGAUGUCGGAUUAGCUAGUUGGCGGGGUAAAGGCCCACCAAGGCGACGAUCCGUAGCUGGUCUGAGAGGAUGAUCAGCCACACUGGAACGGAGACACGGUCCAGACUCCUACGGGAGGCAGCAGUGGGGAAUAUUGGACAAUGGGCGCAAGCCUGAUCCAGCCAUACCGCGUGGGUGAAGAAGGCCUUCGGGUUGUAAAGCCCUUUUGUUGGGAAAGAAAAGCAGCAGGUUAAUACCCCGCUGUUCUGACGGUACCCAAAGAAUAAGCACCGGCUAACUUCGUG
rnacentral:rRNA from 1 species